AGAAAUUCGAUUCCGUAAGUAGCGGCGAGCGAACGAGGAUUAGCCCAAGACAAGAAAGUUUUCAUUAUGGGGGAUGCUAACAUAUCAUAACGAAGAGGUAUCGUAAUUGAAGAGGUUUGGAAAGACCAACCACAGAAGGUAAUAGUCCUGUAUGUUAAACGAGAAGACUUUAGAUAUGAGCCAGAGUACCACGGGACACGUGAAACCCUGUGGGAAGCAGGAGGGACCACCCUCCAAGGCUAAAUACUACCUAGUGACCGAUAGCGUAUAGUACCGUGAGGGAAAGGUGAAAAGAACCCCGGGAGGGGAGUGAAAUAGAACCUGAAACCCUGCACUUACAAGCUGUGGAAGCACAUUUCUUGUG
rnacentral:rRNA from 1 species